UGUGGUGUGGCUCAUUGGUGGAGCAAGUGCCUAGCAUGUGCGAGGCCCUGGGUUCAAUUCUCAGCAUCAUCU
rnacentral:tRNA from 1 species